UAUGAUGAGAGUUUAACAUCCUACCACACCCAUAUAUACAUGCUUGCUAUACUUUGAGCCACACAUUUACUUUUUACUGCUUAUGAGCAUUGAGUGUGGUCCAGCUGUGUCGACCCUUAGGAGCUUGUCAUGUGGUUAAAAUCAAGAUUCACUUGCACGUUCACUCAUACAUGCUACUUCUACUCCGGAAGUACCAUCCACAUAUAUCCACUCAUUUCCAUCUCCACAUUUACCCGAAAUUACUCUACUCCUAAUCCGGGAGAGAAUAGCCAAAAAUAUUUUCCUAUCCCUGUUAUUCCCUGUAAAAUAAAUGCUCGAGUUAUCUUGGUUACUACCACUUGCUAUAUUAUUUCAGGAAAUGAGUGCUCUAAAAAAAGAAAAAAAAGGAAAAAAAAUAAUAAUAAAAUAAAUAAUAUAUGAGGAAAUAAAAAGGGGCAAGUGCCCGGAACCUCGAAGAAAAAAAAAAGUGAGACGAGAGGUAAAAAUGGACAAGUGUCCGAUAGUAGAAUUAGGGGUACAAGAUACCCACCUGAGAGGAAAGAGAAAGAAAAUAUAGAGCAUCUCAUUCUCCUCAUAAAGUUUCAAAAGCAAGGAAGGUAUGUAUCCCCUCAAAGAGCAAAGUAGAAUUAGACUUCCACCACCAUUAUCACCAUCAUCACCAUACACCAUUCACAUGCACAUCUUCAUUUGGCUUAUUGAUUUGUUUCUUUGGAUCCAUGGUUUGACUAUGCAAUAAAUGUCUUGUAAGUAUGUAUACUUUAUCUCCCACCUAUGAGCUCCAGAUAUUAAAGCCUUAUUAGAGUAGGGUGAGAGAGAAGACAAUGUCACUAUGCUUCAUACCACAAAUACCACAUAUCUUGAGAGAAGGCAUAUACCAUCACUGCCUUGGUAAGGAUCCAAAAAUACCACAAAAGAGAGACCUGAGAGAAUCAUACAAGGAAUUUCUGAGUUUUAUUUGAAAAUCUGCAAAAACCCCAGAGCUAUAGCUGAUCAAGAAUAAGAGACAUGGCACUUGGCUAGACUGUUCUAUCUUUUAACCACUCAAGACAGAAGUGACGGUUACAAGUCCUAUGGUGUAGGUAAAUUAAGUAAGUUUUAAGUCUUAACAGUUUAUUCUAACUCAGGGAUGAGAUCUUGCUUAAAUGCGUGUGUACUUCUAAGAAAUGAAACCACUGUAGAAACUCUUGAGUUCAUCCUUGCUCAGGGACGAGCAAGAGGUAAGCUUGGGGGAGUUUGUUGACGGUCCUUAAGUAUCAAAUUUAAUUAUCAAAUAAACAAAGAAAAGGAUCCAAAUGAAAUCAACAUCUAGACUUAGGGUUUUAUCUGACAGAAUUCCACGAGUUUUGGUGUUUGUCUAUUUCUGCAGGGGGUUAUCAGGAAAUAUGGAAGAAAGGCCUACAAGUCGGGAUUACAUAGAGAUAUUAACGUGCCGCGCAAUUUUCUAUCAUCUAGAAGACUCCAGACGCCACGGGAACGAACGGGAGGCCGAACGGACCCGAGGGCAGGGCGCCCGCCCUCUCCCCUUGGGCGCCCGCCCAGGUGUUUCCACCAAUCACAGAAUGGAGUACACCAUUGCAAAGAUCUCGUCGAGCUGAUCGAAAUGCAUAUAUUAUUUGCUAUAUUUGGAGUUCGGAAUCAAGAGAUAUUAAUAAAAGAAGGACUCCAUAUAAAAGAGCUGCGAGAUUAAUUGGGCUCAAAUCAGAUUUUGGUCCAUUAAGGCCUAUGUGCAUUUUAAUGAGAUAUGGUGGAAAGUUUAGUACCACAUCGCCUGCUGAACCAAAAACACAUAGAAGGGGAGGACUAUAUAAGGAGACCCCCCUGGCCCCUGGAGAAGACAUGAAGAAAUUAUCAUAGAGAUUGAGGGGUGCCCUCGAAGGAAAACCUCUUCUCUAAAUAAUAUUUCUUUUUAGGCUUAGCAACCAAUGUAAAGUAGAAAUAGAUCUUCUAGUUUCUACUAGAUUGAGAGAGAUAGAGUGGAGGUGUGGAUCGGAGGAAGGCCGGCC
rnacentral:lncRNA from 1 species